rnacentral:rRNA from 1 species
GAUGAACGCUGGCUACAGGCUUAACACAUGCAAGUCGAGGGGAAACGCCGGGGCAGCUUGCUUCCCCGGGCGUCGACCGGCGCACGGGUGAGUAACGCGUAUCCAACCUGCCUCUGACUGAGGGAUAACCCGUCGAAAGUCGGCCUAAUACCUCAUGGUAUCGUCUGCGGGCAUCCAACGACGAUUAAAGAUUUCAUCGGUCAGGGAUGGGGAUGCGUCUGAUUAGCUUGUUGGCGGGGUAACGGCCCACCAAGGCUACGAUCAGUAGGGGUUCUGAGAGGAGGCCCCCCACAAUUGAACCUGGGACCCGGCCCAAACUCCAAGGGGAGGAGGAGUGUAGGAUAAUGGGCAAAGGGGCGGGACCCUGACCCACCCAGUAGGGGGGAAGGACGCCGGCCUUUUGGGUUUAAACUGCUUUUAAGGAGGGGUAAAGUGAGGGACGUGUCCCUCAUUGCAGGUACCGCAUGAAUAAGGACCGGCUAAUUCCGUG